rnacentral:rRNA from 1 species
GACGAACGCUGGCGGCGUGCCUAAUACAUGCAAGUCGAGCGGACUGAUUAAGAGCUUGCUCUUAUGACGUUAGCGGCGGACGGGUGAGUAACACGUGGGCAACCUGCCCUGUAGAUCGGGAUAACACCGAGAAAUCGGUGCUAAUACCGGGUAAUAUCUGAGAUCACAUGAUCUUAGGUUAAAAGAUGGUUUCGGCUAUCACUACAGGUUGGGCCCGCGGCGCAUUCGCUAGUUGGUAAGGUAAUGGCUUACCAAGGCGACGAUGCGUAGCCGUCCUGAGAGGGGGAUCGGCCACACUGGGGCUGAGACACGGCCCAGACACCUCCGGGGGGGAGCAGUAGGGGAUCUUCCGCAAAGGGGGAGAGUCUGACGGGGCAACGCCGCGUGAGUGAGGAAAGGUUUCGGCUCGUAAAGCUCUGUUGUUAGGGGAAAAACAGUACCGAACGAACUAGGUCGGUACCUUGACGGUACCUAACCAGAAAGCCACGGCUAACUACGUG